GUGGGUAUAGCUCAGUGGUAAAGCAUGUGCUUAGCAUGCAUGAGGCCCUGGGUUUAAUCCCCAGUGCCUCUU
rnacentral:tRNA from 1 species